rnacentral:misc_RNA from 1 species
GUGAAUCAUCGAAUUUUUGAACGCAAAUUGCACUCUCUGGUAUUCCGGAGAGUAUGCCUGUUUGAGGGUCAGUAUAUUUUAAAAUCUAGGUGUUGCUUCUGGUGACGCCAUCGGAGUUGGGUUAUCUUUAUUCUUAAUAAAGGUUUAAAGUGACCUAAAAUUGAUGAUACCUUGUGCAUCUCAAGACGUACAUAAGAUUUUUUUUUUUUUAUUUGUCCGGUGUUUGCCAAAUUUUUAUUAGUUUUGAUCAUGAUCGUUUGUUGCAUUUGUACCUUUAAUUUUUUCUCA